rnacentral:rRNA from 1 species
AUGCAAGUCGAAGAAGGAUUGGCCGGUGCUGCCGGCUGGCGUCAAGGAUCCCCGGAUCAAGAGCUGAUCGAGAACCUUGAGGCCAAAGUGAGUGCUGCCAGCGCGAGAUUUCAGUCUCUCAUCGAUUUGUUCAUACCAACCAUCGACAGUGAGCACGACAUAUGCUACACCCAACCUGAGAAACUUCCAGGCGUUCAAAAGGGGCACGUGGACGCGUCGCAAGAUACAGUCGGAGUGCGGCAUGCACGCGACGUGGCACAAGACCGGCAAUACCUUGCCGGUUAUGGUCAACGGCCGGCAAGACGGGCAGCAAAAAAGGUUCUGGUGCUGCACACCAACAAGAACUUCGACCAACAGAGGACCAACUGGGUGAUGCACCAGUACCACCUCGGGGACCUGGAGCAAGAGAAGGAGCAGGAGCUGGUCCUCUACAAGAUUUUCUACCAGACGAACACUAGGGCCAGGAGUAAAAAGAUUAUAAGUCGAGCAUGUUUCAACUGGGCUGUAGACUGCCCAGGGUUGGUUUUGUUUUUAACAGGCCCAGCCCAUGACGACAACAGGGCACAAAGAUCCAGCAGGACACCGCACCCCUCGUCCGCUCCCGUGCGCUCGCCCGCGUCCCUCCCACACCCCCACCCCCCCGUGCGCGCGCUCACCGUGGUCGGGCCGCGCCCUGGCCGUGCCCGUUGCCCCUCGCGCCCAACGCACCCUUGGCUGACCUACCUGCGCACGCUGUGA